AGGCCUAACACAUGCAAGUCGAACGGUAACAGGUCUUCGGACGCUGACGAGUGGCGAACGGGUGAGUAAUACAUCGGAACGUGCCCAGUCGUGGGGGAUAACUACUCGAAAGAGUAGCUAAUACCGCAUACGAUCUGAGGAUGAAAGCGGGGGGCCUUCGGGCCUCGCGCGAUUGGAGCGCCCGAUGGCAGAUUAGGUAGUUGGUGGGAUGAAAGCUUACCAAGCCGACGAUCUGUAGCUGGUCUGAGAGGACGACCAGCCACACUGGGACUGAGACACGGCCCAGACUCCUACGGGAGGCAGCAGUGGGGAAUUUUGGACAAUGGGCGAAAGCCUGAUCCAGCAAUGCCGCGUGCAGGAUGAAGGCCUUCGGGUUGUAAACUGCUUUUGUACGGAACGAAAAAGCUUCUCCUAAUACGAGAGGCCCAUGACGGUACCGUAAGAAUAAGCACCGGCUAACUACGUGCCAGCAGCCGCGGUAAUACGUAGGGUGCGAGCGUUAAUCGGAAUUACUGGGCGUAGAGCGUGCGCAGGCGGUUAUGUAAGACAGAUGUGAAAUCCCCGGGCUCAACCUGGGAACUGCAUUUGU
rnacentral:rRNA from 1 species